AACUUCCCUCCUUCGGAUCUGUAGUCGAGAAACGUGUGUUACGUAGUUUCGCGAUUCCGGUGUGUUUUUUCGGAUAAUUAGAUAAAUAACGCUGUAAUUAAGAUAAUUGUUCGCAAAUUAGGUUAUUAUUCUAUCGCGGUAAUGUAAAUUUUAUAGAAAUUGAUCGACGUUUCGGGAGAUAAAUGGACUCGAAUCAGUACAGAUCAACAGAUGUGAUCAAAGAAGAUUUCCAGUAAAGUAGCUGCUGAAUCAUAUUCAUACUUCAGUUUAUUCAAUAACUUUCAAAUUUCAAGUUCUUCGAAGGAAAAACUGCUCAGCUAGGAAAUUUCAUCGUAUUUUUACCAGGUAAUUGAACUGUAAUCUAUGAACCUCUCUCUGUAGUCAAUACAAUGCAAACCGAUCGGUUCGGUUCAUCUUUACAACUUCUAUCGCUGCAACUUUGUGUUCGUCUGUAAACACAAUGUAAGUUCAAGUAGUCACAAUCGGUUCACCGGAGUGAAUGAUUGAUGAAUGAAAACUACACCAGACUGCUUGGUCGUUACAAAUACCUACUCUCUUGUGGAAAACGAAUUCAUAUUUUCGGUUCGUCACUAACGACAAACUCAGCUGGAAGCUUGAGCACUGCUGAAUAAAAAAU